rnacentral:rRNA from 1 species
GAUGAACGCUAGCUACAGGCUUAACACAUGCAAGUCGAGCGGGGUGAUGGUGCUUGCACUAUCACUUAGCGGCGGACGGGUGAGUAAUGCUUAGGAAUCUGCCUAUUAGUGGGGGACAACAUCUCGAAAGGGAUGCUAAUACCGCAUACGUCCUACGGGAGAAAGCAGGGGAUCUUCGGACCUUGCGCUAAUAGAUGAGCCUAAGUCGGAUUAGCUAGUUGGUGGGGUAAAGGCCUACCAAGGCGACGAUCUGUAGCGGGUCUGAGAGGAUGAUCCGCCACACUGGGACUGAGACACGGCCCAGACUCCUACGGGAGGCAGCAGUGGGGAAUAUUGGACAAUGGGGGGAACCCUGAUCCAGCCAUGCCGCAUGUGUGAAGAAGGCCUUAUGGUUGUAAAGCACUUUAAGCGAGGAGGAGGCUACUCUAGUUAAUACCUAGGGAUAGUGGACGUUACUCGCAGAAUAAGCACCGGCUAACUCUGUGCCAGCCGCCGCAGUAA